rnacentral:rRNA from 1 species
AACGAACGCUGGCGGCAUGCCUAACACAUGCAAGUCGAACGAGACCUUCGGGUCUAGUGGCGCACGGGUGCGUAACGCGUGGGAACAUGCCCUUAGGUUCGGAAUAACUCCCCGAAAGGGGUGCUAAUACCGGAUAAUGUCUUCGGACCAAUGAUUUAUCGCCUUUGGAUGGGCCCGCGUUGGAUUAGCUAGUUGGUGGGGUAAAAGCCUACCAAGGCGACGAUCCAUAGCUGGUCUGAGAGGAUGAUCAGCGACACUGGGACUGAGACACGGCCCAGACUCGUACGGGAGGCAGCAGUGGGGAAUAUUGGACAAUGGGCGAAAGCCUGAUCCAGCAAGGCCGCGUGAGUUAUGAAGGCCUUAGGGUUGUAAAGCUCUUUUACCCGGGAUGAUAAUGACAGUACCGGGAGAAUAAGCUCCGGCUAACUCCGUG